rnacentral:lncRNA from 1 species
CCUGGACUCCAUUUCCCAGAAUGCCUCAAGAGGCUCCUCUGGGUCCAGGCAGCGUCGCUCCUUCUGCCUUCCUAUGAGGGUUGUGGCCGAGCGCGUUGCACUGUGAUACUUUUCCGGCCAUACUCUGACCAAGCUUGGUACCUGGUGGGGCUCUAGGCCUCUAGGCCCGCUAUUUGGGUGGGGUCUGGGGGAGAGGAGAGGAGGUAGCGCUUAGAAGAGCCCACGGGGGCAUCAUCUUUGAGCUCUCAAGCCCAGCUGUACUAGAAAGUGGAAACCCUCCCCAGGAAAAGGAGGAGAGGGGGUCCCUGAGAUCCCUCCCCACCAGGGACCCCUCCCCACCAGGGACCCCUCAGGAAGGCAUGAAGAAGCAGAUCCUGGAGGGGCUGAUGCCUCUGCAUCCAUCCCUGACCCUCCUCAGACCGGAUGGGCAGAGGAGACCCUGAACUCAGAGCAGUGAGAAGAAAGCCAGGAGGAGGUAACCAUGGAGGACGGAGCUCAGUCUCAUCAAACAUUGGCUCUUCCCCAAGACAGGAGUAUGACAAGUGAGGAGGGAAUGACUUUUGGGUUCCUGACGGCAAGGAUUCAGGUGAGUUAAAGUUUACUCUUUGUCUUUCCUGUGCCCUAUUUCGUGGCAUAUAUCUGUUCUAAGAGUAAUGUUUCUGUCCUUUCAUUUCUCAGUGUACUUAGAUCCCUUCUGGGCUACUGAGCCUGUUACUCUGAAGCCUGUAGCUAUUCUGAUCACUGACAUAGAGAAGGCAGGUCAACAGAACUGGAAUGUCUGCAUAAUAUAAAUUAGGAAAUUUUGGAACAAAUGUACAUGAUUUGAAAACAAUUGCCUUUUAUGCUUGUAGAUGAAUGGUGGGAGUUAAGCAUAUAAA